CUCGAGUGUUACAAACAAUAGUUUUUAAGGAAUAAUGUGAAAUAAGUUAGUUUUUAUAUGAUAGAAAACUUAAUCAACAUGAUAACUUAAUAACAUUACCAGACACUAACUUAGAUGAUCCUGGAGCAAAGGCUGUAAUUUGACCUGAACCCAAAUUGGUCUCUAUUUGAAAUAUUGUCUUGAACCAAUAAGUUAAGAGGACUAAGUAACCUUUCUGGACGACAUUGCCAUCGACAUCACUGCAGAUGAGAGAGAAAGAGAGACCAGAGUUGUGGACCCUGGAGGCAAUUACCAUACUGCCGUGAUAAUGUUACUUGGUCUAACCAUAACUUAAGUGAGAACUGAAGCCUACCAGUAAAAUGGGGGCGUUGUAAUUAAUAUCCUCCGACAUUGAAGAAUACAGGGGAGAGGGGUCAGAGGAAGAGGAGAUGGAGGAUGGGGCGAAGUAAAGACUAAGAUUGAAGAGAACUAACUAAUGGUAAGUUUUGCCAUUUACUUAAAUUUAAUACUUAUAAAUCCAGGGCCGUGUCCAUUGCCCCCAAGCCUAUGUCGCAUAACCCUCCUGAAUUACUAGUAUUUAACCAGCAUUUUAACUCGAGAGGUGCCCAAAA